AAACAUCCAUCAACGGUUUUAUUAUUAUUUUUUAAUUUCCAGUGUUAUACUUUCAUUUCAUUCCUUGGGACUUGAAUGUUCCAAUCUGGCCUAUGCUUGAAGUCUGAAAGGUGGAGAGAAGAGAUUUUGUAACUCACUCGAUCCCAAAGGCAGGACACACACCUUCCAACAGCUUCAAAGAGGUCAAGACUUUAGAUUGUGCAAUUUAUUAUUAUAUCAGAGGUAGAAGAAAAAGUGCACUGAAAUAAGUAUGACCAGGGCAAAGUCACUCCAACCUCCCCACCCUGAAAUGCCCUGAAAAGAACCAUAGUUUCCUGCAGGGACUCUGCCUUCGGUUACAAAAUUUCAAUGCACAGUUGGAGAUUGAAAUGCACAUGAGAUGCAUGCAUUUUCUUUCUCUGGCUAUUCUCCGAUCUCCUAAAUAAAGCUUUUCCCCGGGGGGCUGCAUGAGAGCAGUGGCUGGGUCUGCUUUCUGGGGGUCAGAAAAGCUGUUCUUCCAGGAAAGGCUGCAGAGACCCUGGGAACAGGACCAGCCCAGCUCACAAGUAUGAAGAGAAUGUCGGGAGAGGAAGUGGUGGCUCUGAGUCAGCAUGAGUCAUCUCGUUCCAAUGAGAAUGAAGAUUGAGGUGUGCGCCUUUCUCUCUCUCUCUCUCUUUUUUUUUUUUUUUGAGUCUCAAUCGUGUGGACAUCACUGGGAAUGGAGGGAAAUAACUGACUGUAUGAUCGUUGCUUUUUAAGUUUCAAACUGACAUUCCAGGCGGGCUGUUGCUUGAGUGAGCAUCUGUCUUCAGAAUUUCACAGUGGGUUCCUGGGAAGGUGGAAGCCUCUCCCUGCCUCUCUGGCAGACCUGAACUCUGUCCUCUGAUGCCUCAAGCAAUAAGAUCACAACUUUCUGCCUGGCAGACUGAGAUGGGUGAAGUGAGGAGCAGGAGGGGACCGACACGACAGAGGUGUGCAGCCUCCAGCAUCUCCUCCUUUGUGAACUGGAUCCUCCCCAAGGAGACUACGAGAUGAAAACUUCGGAGCCCGGGAGUGAGUGGCCAGCAGGUUGCAGACGUCAGGUGAUGGCCACCAGCCAGCAUGGAACACGCCCCCACAAGACACACAGCAGAGGUGCCACCUGGACCUCCCACCCUGUCAUCUCAAUGCCUUGGACCCCUGGCCAGGAUAUGUGGGGAUGGCACCCACCUGGGCACCCAGCUACUCAUCUGCUGUCUCACCAAUGAGGAGAAUGAAGAACACAGCUCUAUAUGAUGGAUCUGUGAAGUGUUCCUUGAAUAUCUCUGCCCAGAGUGCAACAAUGAGGCCGCUAAUUGAACAAUUCCAACAACCCCGUGGCAUCGUGUAAGUAGGCUGUCCAUGUGUAGGGGUGGGUGCUCUGUGGAAAAGCUUCCUUUGUGAAGGAGGGUGGAUUGGGCUUAAGAUUCUACCAAUUCUAAGAGUCUGUGAUUUGCUUCUUUUUUUACAGCCUGGCUAUAUUUAGAUUAAUGAAUUAUAUUCAAGAUGGACUCACCAAUUAUUUCUUAAAUGAGUUAUUUCAUUCAAAAGUUAUUGAGAGAGGAGUUCCCAUUGUGGCUCAGUGAAUUAAGGACCCAACAUUGUCUCUGUGAGGGAUUGAUCCAUGGCCUUGCUCAGUGGGUUAAGGAUCUGGUGUUGCUGCAAGCUGUGGUGCAGGCAUAUAGCUGCAGCUGUAUUUCAACCCCUAGCCCAGGAACUUCCAUAUGAGGCAGGUACAGGCAUAAAAAGAAAAAAAAAAAAUUCAAAUAAGACCCAGAGUCUUCCAACCUAAAAGGAAAGACACCUAUAUACAAUUAAAAAAUACUACACAUCAUACUAAGAAUCAAGAAAAUAACAUAAAUGAGAAGACAAUUAGCUGACACCAACAUCUGUCAACGCAUCUGUCAAAGACUGUAAAGCAACCACUGUAAAAAUGCUUCAGAAAACAAUCACAAAUUCUCUUGAAAUGAAAUGGAAAAACAGAAAAAUGUCAGCAAAGAAAAGUUAUUUAAAAAUGGAAAGUAUUGAACUGAUGAAUACAAUAAAAGAAAUUAAAGCUCAUCCAUGGAUGAGCUAAAUUGUAGAAUGGUUAUGACCAAAGAUAGAAUCAGUGAAACUGAGAAAUAAACAAAAAAUAUCACAUGGUCUGAAGAACAGAGAAAAUAGACUGAAAAUACUCUCUACUGCGAAUGAUGACUUUAAUGCACAAAUUGGUAGCAUCAACCACAAUGCAGAGGGGUUGUUAAAUCAACUUAAGAGAACUCAUUGUUUUAAAUAAUGACAAAUGAAAAAUAAAAAAUUUAAGUGCUACAAUUUACAAUAGCACCAAAAAUACAGAGAAUAGAGAGUUCUCUUGUGGGGUUGCAGGUUAGAGGAGCCAGUGUUGUCACUGUGGCAGCCCACUGCUGCAGUGAAGGGGUGAAUCCCUGGCCCAAAACUUCCACAUGUUGUGGGUGCAGCCAAAAAAAAAAUUUUUUUUUUUUUAUUUUCCCACUGUACAGCAAGGGGGUCAGGUUAUCCUUACAUGUAUACAUUACAAUUACAUUUUUCCCCCAGCCUUUCUUCUGUUGCAACAUGAGUACAAAAAAAAUUUUUAAACAUAUAAAAAAAAUUUUUUUUUUAAAUCAGAGCUCAAAAAUAUAGAGACUAGAUGGGGCCCAGAGGAUUUUUAGGGCAGUGAAAAUAUUCUACAAGCUACUAUUAAUGGCAGAUACAUGUCCUUAUACAUUUGUCCAAAUCCAUAGAAUGUACAACACCCAUGAAUGAUGUACCGUGAACCAUGAAUGUAACCAUGUUGGUAGAAUGAACCAUGAUGUAAACCAUGAGCGUUGGGUGAUAAUGACUUGCCAAUCUAGGCUCAGGAAUUGUGACAUCUCUGUCACUCUGGCAGGGUGGUGGUUGAUCAUGGUGAGGCUGAGCCUGUGUGGGGACAGAAGCUUGUAGGAAAUCUCUGUACCAUCUUCUCAAUUUUGCUGUGAACCUAAAACUGCUCCCCUAAAAAGUUUUCUAAAAAACACAGAGAAAUAAAUCUCAUGCAAUAUAACUGAAAACUUUAAAGUUGUUAUUGAGAAAAAUUAAAAGGGUCCUAAACAAAUGUUUUUGGAAUAAAGACAAUACUUUUAAAUUAAGUGUCAUUUCUCUCCAAAUUGAUCUAGAGAGCCAGUGCAACUUCAGCACAAAUUCCAGUAGAAUUUUGUUUAUUUUAUUUUCAGAAUGAAUGUUAUUCUCUAAUUUAUUUGGAAAAUUAAAGGACCAAAACAAUCUUGAAUAAGAACAUUUGUCAAGACUUUUUCUGAAGGUUUAGUAAACAAGACACUGUAAGAUUUAUAUAAGCGUAAACAAACAGACCAAUGGGACAGAAAAGGGAGCUUUAGAAAACAGACCACACAUAUGCAGUCACUUGAUUUGUGACAAAAAGGACACUACUGAGCAGUGAGGACAAGAUGGGUGGCCUUUUCAUAAACUCUGCUGGGUCAAUUAUAUGUUCAUAUUUUAAAAAAUGAAUUUUGACCCCCCCACACACACAUACCAGCCACAAAAAUUAAAUCAGGCUGAUUGUAGACCUAAAUGCAGAAAGUUAAAACAAGAAAACUUCUAAAGGUAGCAUAAAAGCAUACUUUCAUGAUCUUUCACGUGAACAAAUUUUCUCAAAUACAGUACAAAAAGCACUAAAGACCAAGGUUAAGAUUGGUCUUAACCAAGCAACUUAAAAGAGAUACCAUUAAGAAAGUGGAAAAGCAAGCUAAAAGAGUGGGAGAAGGUAUUUACAAAUCAUAAACCUGAUAAGAGACUUGUAUCCAGAAUACAUGAAAAAAUAUUCCAUAAAACAUUAAUGACCCAAUAGAAGAAAUAAGCCAAAGAUUUGGACAGGCACUUCACAAAAGGGAUUAUACGAGUGGCCAGUGAAUAUGAGCUGCACAGUAUAAACUGAAACCCCCAGGAGACACCACUACACACCCACCAGAGUGGCUGAAAUGAACAGGCUAACAGUACUGAGUGCAGGAGAGCACGUAGAUCACCUGCAACUGCCAUCCACAGGCUAGUAGGGGUGCGAAUUGUACUGUCACUUUGGAAGGCUGUUUGGCAGGGUUAAGCGCUGAGCAUUGUGUAUCCUAUGGCCCAGCAUUUCUGGACCCCUCUGCACACACUCAACUGAAACACAUACUCUCUUUUUUUUCCAGCCACACCUGCAGCAUGUGGAAGUUCCCGGGCCAGGGAUUGAACCCCCUCAACAGCACCAACCCAAUCCACAGCAGUGAAACACUAGAUCCUGCUAAGCCACCAGGGCACUCCAGAAACACAUACUCAUGUGCACUGAGGUCAUGGACAAAACUGCUCAGACCUAUCCAGUGAUAGCAGCCAAAGGCUGGAAACAACCCACAUUUCCACUAGCGGUGGAAUGGAUGAAUAUAUUGUGGUGUACUUAGCAAUGAAAUCAAACAAUCACUUGCAACACACAGUGACACAGAACUGAAAUCCUCACACUCAGAUGGCUGAAUAGUUCUACGUAUACCAAGUUCAGAAACAGACAAAAGUGGAGUUCCUGUUGUGGCUCAGCAGGUUAAGAACCUGACUAGUAUCCAUGAGGAUUCAGGCUUGAUCCCUAGCCUCACUCAGUGGGUUAAGGAUCUCCAGUUGCUGUGGCUGUGGCAUAGACCUGCACCUGUAGCUCCAAUUCGACCCCUAGCUUGGGAACUUCCAUACGCCUGCUGCAAGUGCAGCCUUAAAAAGACCAAAAAAAAAAAAAAAAAGAAAAAAAAAAUAGGUGGGUUCACAAAUGACUGGCUUGUAAACAGUCUGCACCCAGCAUCCUGCUAUCUUCCAUCCUUUGAUCAGAGUGGCCGGCUCUGCUGCCAGCCCACAUGCUUCACUGAAUCCACGGAAUCUGGUUAUCCCCAAUUCCAGACUCAGUCCUUGUGGUGGUCCACCCAGCUGCUCACCAGGACACCAUGAGGUAAGUUGGCCACAGUCAGCCCUUCCUUCUCUCUGUACCGCUCACUGGUCACCCAUUGGCCUCACCCCAUAUUGAUGCCGCUGACAUAAUGAAUUGGGGACAGAAUUCUUUGGGAAUUUCUUCCCCCUGAAAACAUCUAGGGAGCUCUUGCUGAGAUCCUCAGGAUAGGAAGGUGCCUUUCCUCAGACAGUUGGCUAAAAUCAUCCAGGCAUCUUAUGAGAAAAGAGGCUCUAAUUUGGAAGGUGUAUUUGCUGAAAGACAGGGCCCUAGAGAAAAGGGCCACUUUAUUUCAUCGUGGGAUCUUUUUUUAAAUUUAAUGACGUACGGUAGAUUUACAAUGUUGUGUUAAUUUCUGCUCUACAGCAAAGUGACUCAGUUAUACAGACAUACAUUCCCUUUCAUAGUCUUUUCCAUUAUGGUU